rnacentral:rRNA from 1 species
UGGGGAAUAUUGCACAAUGGGCGCAAGCCUGAUGCAGCCAUGCCGCGUGUAUGAAGAAGGCCUUCGGGUUGUAAAGUACUUUCAGCGGGGAGGAAGGGAGUAAAGUUAAUACCUUUGCUCAUUGACGUUACCCGCAGAAGAAGCACCGGCUAACUCCGUGCCAGCAGCCGCGGUAAUACGGAGGGUGCAAGCGUUAAUCGGAAUUACUGGGCGUAAAGCGCACGCAGGCGGUUUGUUAAGUCAGAUGUGAAAUCCCCGGGCUCAACCUGGGAACUGCAUCUGAUACUGGCAAGCGUGAAUCUCGUAGAGGGGGGUAGAAUUCCAGGUGUAGCGGUGAAAUGCGUAGAGAUCUGGAGGAAUACCGGUGGCGAAGGCGGCCCCCUGGACGAAGACUGACGCUCAGGUGCGAAAGCGUGGGGAGCAAACAGG